CGUGAGCAAUUUAUGUUAUUUGAAGCCUGAGCUUUCUAAGCUUUUUUUGUUUGUUUGUUUUUAAAUUAAAGGUUAGUUAAUUCUGGAAUAUUUUCUACCUCUAAUUUUUCAAGGACAUAGAAAGACUAUCAUUCCACCAAUAACAAUCUUUAAAAAAAAAACAACUAUCUUUUUAGUUUUUUUUUUUAAUCUUUAAAUGCUAUUGAGAUAUUUGUAGGGUGCAGUCAGGUAUAAUUCCAUAAUGAUUUCAAUCUUAAAAAUGAGAUGCCAAAAAAAUUCAUUGUUUUAGCACUCCCAAAUCAGAUGAAUAUUUAGUCAACUAAACAUCAUCUGAAUGUUUUCUUAAAUGCAGGUCCAUUAUUCUAUCUAACGCUAACAUCAAAACUCAUUUCACUGAUAUAAAACUACUGUUCUGUAUCUUCAAUAAUUUCCUUUAGCACUGAGAGAAGUGAUUUUCCUAUUGUAAAAUUUAAAUCAAUAUCAAUAACUCCCGGUUCUUAUUUUUCCAGAGUUUUAUUAAUAAUCACUAAAGAUAGAGAAAGCAGAUUAUAGCCUAAUGUAAUCUAACUAACCACCUGUGUGAACUCUCUCGCCUGGCUCCCAGCCAGGUUCUCUAGCCACAUUCCAGGAAGUAGAGAGAGGGGGCGGGCCACACAGAAACUUUUAUCCUCUGUCCCUCCCCUCACGCAUGUGCGUGCCCCUCUGUUCACGCAGCGUAAGCACACAAACGGUAUGCUGCGUCAGUCGGUAGGGGUCCAAGGAGCCUUGCGGAGUGAAUUCCAUCUACACACUACCAGAACACAACUUUUACGUUUUAGAGGUUUCUUAUACAUAUUUAUUGAAUUACAGAAGACAGAAGCAAGGCUGUAAAGAAGGCAAGCAGGAAGGAAGGUGAGAGGGAGGGAGGGAGGGAGGAACAUUUCUUAAUUUUUUACAACACAUAAAAUACCAUGCUAAGAUCUAUAAGUGUAAAGAGAGAAAAUAUUCUCAAAGAGCUCACUUUCUAAUAGGUAGAAACAACAGAAAUAAUUUCAACUUCAAGUCAAAUGUGUCAUUGCCAUGGAUAACAAUAUCCAUUUUUAUACUGAACCAUUUGCUAGUCCUACAGAUACAGUAGUGAAUGUUUUUUUUUCCCCCUGUCUUAUGACAGUUUCGUAAAUAGAGAAUGGAUAUAUAUGCUGAGAGGCUUUCCAGAUUGAGCAAUUGGAAGCAGGGACAAGCCUAGUUGAUUGUCAGCUUGAAUUAUUAACCAAACGACCUGUUCUAUAACUAAUCUAAAUGGGCAAGAAUUUCCUGUAGUUGAAUAAUUGUUGGAAAGAAUUCCUUUGACUUUUAAAUUUCUACCAAAUCUCUAUGUCUCUUAAAAGAGCUGGUAUAUUGGAAAACAUUAUGUUUAAGAAAUAUUAAGGCUGAUAGAACUAAAAGAAAUAUCUUUCAGUUCAGAAGGAUGGCUUA
rnacentral:lncRNA from 1 species